rnacentral:ncRNA from 1 species
UUCUGCCCAGUGCUCUGAAUGUCGAAGUGAAAAAAUUCAACCAAGCGUGGGUAAACGGUGGGACUCUCUUAGUGUAGCCAAAUGCCCUCGUCAUCUAAUAAGUGAUGCGCAAGAAUGGA